CUGAUGGUCUUCUGCACCCAAGGGGGGUCCCUGAUCAAGAUUUCUGCAAAUUACAGGGUUUGGGAAAGAGUUCGGCUGAAUCCUCUGAUGGUCUUUUGCACGCCAGGGUGUCCCUGAUCAUGAUUUGAGCAAAUUACAGGGUUUGGGAAAGAGUUUUGUUAACUUUCAAAAUAUCCAUAAAUUCUUGAGGCGACUCCAAAUUGAUCUACUUCUAAAAUGAUGCAGCCUGGACAUUUGCUCAGGUGUAGUAAUUAUAAUUUAAAUGUCUUAUAGUCUCUUGCAACUUGGUUUAGCCAUUUAUUAUUUUUUCUAACAUAUGACCAUUAAUGUUUCAAGAAAUUGCCCUUAAUAAGGAUAUGGAGCUGAACAAGGAAACAAGGAGUUAAGGAAAGCAGUUGCAGAUACAUUUUACGGAGAUGUAACAGUAAAAGAUACUGAAGUUUUUAUAUCCAAUAUCAAGACUUUCCGGUAUUUAUAU